rfam:Candidatus Magasanikbacteria bacterium RIFCSPHIGHO2_01_FTLL_47_8 rifcsphigho2_01_scaffold_36759, whole genome shotgun sequence.
GGGCGGCUAGCUCAGUUGGUUAGAGCGUCACAUUGACAUUGUGAAGGUCAGAGGUUCAACUCCUCUGUCGCCCA